GAUGAAGAACGCAGCGAAAUGCGAUAAGUAAUGUGAAUUGCAGAAUUCAGUGAAUCAUCGAAUCUUUGAACGCACAUUGCGCCCGCCAGUAUUCUGGCGGGCAUGCCUGUCCGAGCGUCAUUUCAACCAUCAAGCCUCGUGCUUGUGUUGGGGACCUGCGUCCGACGCAGGCCCUGAAAACCAGUGGCGGGCUCGCUGUCCACACCGAGCGUAGUAACUAACCUCGCUAUGGAGUGGCGCGGGCGCCUGCCGUAAAACCCCCAAUUUCACAAGGUUGACCUCGGAUCAGGUAGGAAUACCCGCUGAACUUAUGCAUAUCAAUAAGCGGAGGA
rnacentral:misc_RNA from 1 species